rnacentral:rRNA from 1 species
UACGGGGGGGGCAAGCGUUGUUCGGAAUUACUGGGCGUAAAGGGCUCGUAGGCGGCCAACUAAGUCGGAUGUGAAAUCCCCAGGCUCAACUUGGGAACUGCAUCCGAUACUGGAUGGCUUGAAUCCGGGAGAGGGAUGCAGAAUUCCAGGUGUAGCGGUGAAAUGCGUAGAUAUCUGGAGGAACACCGGUGGCGAAGGCGGCAUCCUGGACCGAAACUGACACUGAGGCGCGAAAGCCAGGGGAGCAAACGGG